GAUGAAUGCUGGCGGCGUGCCUAACACAUGCAAGUCGAGCGGCAGCGCGAGUAGUUUACUACUUGGCGGCGAGCGGCGGACGGCUGAGUAACGCGUGGGAACGUGCCCCAAAGUGAGGGAUAACGCACCGAAAGGUGUGCUAAUACCGCAUAUGAUCUUCGGAUUAAAGAAUUUAUUCGCUUUGGGAGCGGCCCGCGUCGGAUUAGGUAGUUGGUAGGGUAAUGGCCUACCAAGCCGACGAUCCGUAGCUGGUCUGAGAGGAUGACCAGCCAGACUGGAACUGAGACACGGUCCAGACUCCUACGGGAGGCAGCAGUGAGGAAUCUUCCACAAUGGGCGAAAGCCUGUUGGAGCAACGCCGCGUGCAGGAUGAAGGCCUUCGGGUUGUAAACUGCUUUUAUAAGUGAAGAAUAUGACGGUAACUUAUGAAUAAGCACCGGCUAACUACGUGCCAGCAGCCGCGGUAA
rnacentral:rRNA from 1 species